rnacentral:misc_RNA from 1 species
GAUGAAGAACGUAGCGAAAUGCGAUAAGUAAUGUGAAUUGCAGAAUUCAGUGAAUCAUCGAAUCUUUGAACGCACCUUGCGCCCUUUGGACUUCUGAAGGGCAUGCCUGUUUGAGUAUCAUGAACACCUCAACUCCUUAUGGUCUUCCAUGAUGAGCUUGGACUUUGGGGGUUUUGCUGGCCUACAGUCAGCUCCUCUAAAAUAAAUCAGCUUACCGGUGUUUGGUGGGUAUCAUGGGUGUGAUAACUAUCUACGCUCGUGGUUUUCCACCAGGUAACCUUCAGCAGUGGAGGUUCACUGGAGCUCAUAGAUGUCUCUCCCAGCGAGGACAGCCCUUUGAAUGUUUGAUCUCAAAUCAGGUAGGACUACCCGCUGAACUUAAGCAUAUCAAUAAGCGGAGGA